AGAUCUGUAAGGCAAGGGGCGGAGCUAGUACAUAAGAAGAAGUGUCAGCAUAAUGGACUUUGAAGAUAUUUAACUGGAUACUCAGGGGAGCUGAAGAGGAACAUCUUCCAGAGUUAUAGGACUGUAAGCCUGGAAGAACCAGGGAGACCAAUAGGAAAAAGGUACUGGUUGCAAGCAGAAACCUUUUAAAUUUCCUAACUGGAGCUUAAAAGCACAAGUGUUCUGAAUGGGUCCUGCGCGUCUUAGUAUCUGAGUUUGAAGAUCAACAGCAGCUAUUUGUUACUGGGAGGCACAGUGAAGUCAUAACCGGCUCUCUGAUACAGAUCACAAGGGAAGUGGCAGACUGUUGCUUAAUUUCAUCAUGGAACUGACACAAAACUUGUCAAGUACAGGAAAGUGUUGGAAGUAAGCAUGGUAGAACGAUUUCUCUUUAUCAUUGAUCAUGGAAAGGACGUAUAUCAGGCAGUUCAAGUGCCAUAUAUGAAAUAAGCUCCAGCAUCUGGUUUGUUAUCCCUCUGAAGGCAAUGCAGAGGAGCAGCAGAGUUGCUUGUUUUUGUAGAUUGUAAGACCCUACCUUGCCUUCUCCUGAGUUACAAAUCAAAGGACAGUGAAAAAAGAUGAGCACCUUGACAGUGUGUGUGAGAUGGUGAUUAACAGUGAUAAGAUAGAUGCCUUGUUACAUGAAUGAUCAAUUUGUGUUUGGAUAUUGAGGCACUUUCCUGUUGGAAAACCUCUGAAAUAGGUGAACUGAUGAUAAAAUCCUGAGGAAAAAAAAAAAGAACUGCAAAAUUGUAGCAUCUCAUAAUUGACUGCAAAGAAGGCUUUUUAUGUGCAAUUUCACUACUACUCAAUAGGUAUGUAGAACAUAUUUGAUUUAGUUGUGCUAUUUUCAAAUUGUGUUAUCUGACAAACUGAGUACAGAAUGCAUAAUUAGAUCAUACUACUGUAGUUAUGAUAAUAAAUGCUGCAUUUGCAAGACUUGAAGCCUCACAUUAGGCAGAUACUUAAUUUUUUAUAGCUGUUUCUGACAGGUAACAUUUUUUACCCUGAACAUAAAUCUGUCAGGAAUUCUAUUUGUACUAAAGGCUUCUGUGUAUUAAAUUACAAUUUUGAUUUUUAACUGACAAAUCUGCACAAGCAUUUUAUUUUGUAAGCAAAAUAGUUUUAAAUAAAUUCUUUGUAAU
rnacentral:lncRNA from 7 species